CAGCCGCCGCGGGAAUACGUAGGGUGCAAGCGUUGUCCGGAAUUAUUGGGCGUAAAGAGCUCGUAGGCGGUUUGUCGCGUCUGCUGUGAAAUCCCGAGGCUCAACCUCGGGCUUGCAGUGGGUACGGGCAGACUAGAGUGCGGUAGGGGAGAUUGGAAUUCCUGGUGUAGCGGUGGAAUGCGCAGAUAUCAGGAGGAACACCGAUGGCGAAGGCAGAUCUCUGGGCCGUAACUGACGCUGAGGAGCGAAAGCGUGGGGAGCGAACAGGAUUAGAUACCCGUGUAGUCCCUGUCUCUUAUAC
rnacentral:rRNA from 1 species